rnacentral:rRNA from 1 species
GAUUACUCCUACGGGAGGCAGCAGUGGGGAAUUUUGGACAAUGGGCGCAAGCCUGAUGCAGCCAUGCCGCGUGUAUGAAGAAGGCCUUAGGGUUGUAAAGUACCUUCGGUGAUGAGGAAGUUAUGUGUGGGAUAAGCGCAUAUAAUUGACGUUAGUUACAGAAGAAGCACCGGCUAACUCCGUGCCAGCAGCCGCGGUAAUAAU